rnacentral:rRNA from 1 species
GACGAACCGUGCGAACGUUAUUCGGAAUCACUGGGCUUAAAGGGUGCGUAGGCGGGUUGCCAAGUCUGUGGUGAAAUCCUCCAGCUUAACUGGAGAACUGCCGUGGAUACUGGCGACCUCGAGGGGUGUAGGGGCUUGCGGAACUGUGCGUGGAGCGGUGAAAUGCGUUGAUAUGCACAGGAACUCCGGUGGCGAAAGCGGCGAGCUGGACACCUUCUGACGCUGAGGCACGAAAGCGAGGGGAGCAAACGGA